GACGAACGCUGGCGGCGUGCCUAAUACAUGCAAGUAGAACGCAGUUUCGCACGGGUGAGUAACGCGUAGGUAACUGCCUCAUAGCGGGGGGUAACUAAUGGAAACGAUAGCUAAUACCGCAUACUGUGGGAUGGACCUGCGUUGUAUUAGCUAGUUGGUGAGGUAAAGGCUCACCAAGGCGACGAUACAUAGCCGGCCUGAGAGGGAUAUCGGGCCAACUGGUAACUAGGACCGGGCCCGGCUCCUACGGGAGGGCGCAGGAGGGAAUCUUUGGCAAUGGACUGAAGUCUGACCGAGCAACGCCGCGUGAGUGAAGGAGGUUUUCGGAGCGUAAAGCUCUGUUGGUAGAGGAGCGGUAACUAACCAGAAAGGGACGGCUAACUACGUGCCAGCAGCCGCGGUAAUAC
rnacentral:rRNA from 1 species